rnacentral:tRNA from 1 species
AGGAUAAUAGUUAAAAUUAACAUUAAAUUUGCAAUUUAAAAUUAUUGUAUUACAAUUUAUCUUA